AUUGAACGCUGGCGGCAUGCCUUACACAUGCAAGUCGAACGGCAGCACGGGACUCGGGCAACUGAGCCCUGGUGGCGAGUGGCGAACGGGUGAGUAAUGCAUCGGAACGUGCCCAGUAGUGGGGGAUAACUAGUCGAAAGAUUAGCUAAUACCGCAUACGACCUAUGGUGAAAGCGGGGAGUUCGCAAGAACCUCGCGCUAUCGGAGCGGCCGAUGUCUGAUAGCUAGUUGGCGGGGUAAAAGGACCCACCCAAGGCUUCGAUCAGUAGCUGGUCUGAGAGGACGACCAGCCACACUGGGACUGAGACACGGCCCAGACUCCUACGGGAGGCAGCAGUGGGGAAUUUUGGACAAUGGGCGCAAGCCUGAUCCAGCCAUGCCGCGUGCGGGG
rnacentral:rRNA from 1 species